GACGAACGCUGGCGGCGUGCUUAACACAUGCAGGUCGAACGGAAAGGCCCUGCUUUUGUGGGGUGCUCGAGUGGCGAACGGGUGAGUAACACGUGAGUAACCUGCCCUUGACUUUGGGAUAACUUCAGGAAACUGGGGCUAAUACCGGAUAGGAGCUCCUGCUGCAUGGUGGGGGUUGGAAAGUUUCGGCGGUUGGGGAUGGACUCACGGCUUAUCAGCUUGUUGGUGGGGUAGUGGCUUACCAAGGCUUUGACGGGUAGCCGGCCUGAGAGGGUGACCGGCGACAUUGGGACUGAGAUACGGCCCAGACUCCUACGGGAGGCAGCAGUGGGGAAUAUUGCACAAUGGGCGGAAGCCUGAUGCAGCAACGCCGCGUGCGGGAUGACGGCCUUCGGGUUGUAAACCGCUUUCGCCUGUGACGAAGCGUGAGUGACGGUAAUGGGUAAAGAAGCACCGGCUAACUACGUG
rnacentral:rRNA from 1 species